rnacentral:rRNA from 1 species
UACGUAGGGGGCUAGCGUUGUCCGGAAUCAUUGGGCGUAAAGAGCGUGUAGGCGGCUUGGUAAGUCCGCUGUGAAAGUCCAGGGCUCAACCCUGGAAUGCCGGUGGAAACUGUCGAGCUAGAGUCCGGAAGAGGCGAGUGGAAUUCCUGGUGUAGCGGUGGAAUGCGCAGAUAUCAGGAGGAACACCGAUGGCGAGGGCAGGUCACUGGGCCGCAACUGACGCUGAGGAGCGAAAGCAUGGGGAGCGAACAGG